GACGAACGCUGGCGGCGUGCUUAACACAUGCAAGUCGAACGGAAAGGCCUGCUUUCCCUUGUGGAUUGCGGGUACUCGAGUGGCGAACGGGUGAGUAACACGUGAGUGAUCUGCCCCCAACUUGGGUAUAAGCCUGGGAAACUGGGUCUAAUUCCCGAUAGGACUGCAGGGUGGUGCCUGUGGUGGAAAACGAUUUUCUAGUGGUUGGGGAUGAGCUCGCGGCCUAUCAGCUUGUUGGUGGGGUAAUGGCCUACCAAGGCGGCGACGGGUAGCCGGCCUGAGGGGGUGGACGGCGACAUUGAGACUGGGAUACGGCCCAGACGCGUACGGGAGGCAGCAGUGGGGAAUAUUGGACAAUGGGCGGAAGCCUGAUGCAGCGACGCCGCGUGGGGGAUGACGGCCUUCGGGUUGUAAGCUCCUUUCGACCGCGAGGAAGCCACCUGGUUGGAAGGGUGGUGACGGUAGUGGUAGAAGAAGCACCGGCUAACUACGUG
rnacentral:rRNA from 1 species